rnacentral:lncRNA from 1 species
GAAAACAAGAAUUAGACACUACGUGAGCAGGACACGACUGGACUAGAGACCUCAUUGGAGAGUAAAGGACUCAAACUGGGGAAAAAGAAGAAAUUUCCAAAGGGAACAAAUCCAAUGGAAAGACUCAAGCUGACUCAAACAUUCCACAAAGGAUACUCCGGAUAAAAAUCCGGACUUAGGCUUGAGAAAGAUUCACACAGAACCUCCCCGCCGGGAAAAAUUUGCAUAUAUUGGGGAAAACGCCAAUACAGCAAAAGGGGAAAAUCACAACAAAAACU